GUGGGGAAUAUUGGACAAUGGGCGCAAGCCUGAUCCAGCCAUGCCGCGUGAGUGAUGAAGGCCUUAGGGUUGUAAAGCUCUUUCAGUGGGGACGAUAAUGACGGUACCCACAGAAGAAGCCCCGGCUAACUUCGUGCCAGCAGCCGCGGUAAUACGAAGGGGGCUAGCGUUGUUCGGAUUUACUGGGCGUAAAGCGCACGUAGGCGGAUCGUUAAGUCGGGGGUGAAAUCCUGGAGCUCAACUCCAGAACUGCCUGCGAUACUGGCGAUCUUGAGUCCGGAAGAGGUGAGUGGAACUCCUAGUGUAGAGGUGGAAUUCGUAGAUAUUAGGAAGAACACCAGUGGCGAAGGCGGCUCACUGGUCCAGUACUGACGCUGAGGUGCGAAAGCGUGGGGAGCAAACAGGAUUAGAAACCCCAGUAGUCC
rnacentral:rRNA from 1 species